rnacentral:misc_RNA from 1 species
AACAAGCCUCCGUUGCCAAAGAAGUCAUUUAUUAACUCUGUAUCGAAAAAGCUUGGGAGACUGUAUCCGUUGGCUCUUAUGGACAAUAUUAAGCCUCUCUCGGGCAAAGUUCGAACAAAGCCACCUAAAGAUCGUAGGCACUCGGUCUCUUGAAUUAUCGUAGAUGUGUGACAGAAAUGCUCUUCCUGACAUCAACUGUUUCAUAAUGGUUCUG